rnacentral:rRNA from 1 species
GGGUGAGUAAUACAUCGGAACGUGUCCGCUCGUGGGGGACAACCAGCCGAAAGGUUGGCUAAUACCGCAUGAGUUCUACGGAAGAAAGAGGGGGACCCGCAAGGGCCUCUCGCGAGCGGAGCGGCCGAUGACUGAUUAGCCUGUUGGUGAGGUAACGGCUCACCAAAGCAACGAUCAGUAGCUGGUCUGAGAGGACGACCAGCCACACUGGGACUGAGACACGGCCCAGACUCCUACGGGAGGCAGCAGUGGGGAAUUUUGGACAAUGGGCGCAAGCCUGAUCCAGCUAUUCCGCGUGUGGGAUGAAGGCCCUCGGGUUGUAAACCACUUUUGUAGAGAACGAAAAGACACCUUUUAAAAAGGGUGUUGCUGACGGUACUCUAAGAAUAAGCACCGGCUAACUACGUGCCAGCAGCCGCGGUAAUACGUAGGGUGCGAGCGUUAAUCGGAAUUACUGGGCGUAAAGGGUGCGCAGGCGGUUGAGUAAGACAGAUGUGAAAUCCCCGAGCUUAACUCGGGAAUGGCAUAUGUGACUGCUCGACUAGAGUGUGUCAGAGGGAGGUGGAAUUCCACGUGUAGCAGUGAAAUGCGUAGAUAUGUGGAAGAACACCGAUGGCGAAGGCAGCCUCCUGGGACAUAACUGACGCUCAGGCACGAAAGCGUGGGGAGCAAACAGGAUUAGAUACCCCGGUAGUCCACGCCCUAAACGAUUUAACGAGUUGUUGGGA